rnacentral:rRNA from 1 species
AUUCCAGCUCCAAUAGCGUAUAUUAAAGUUGUUGCAGUUAAAAAGCUCGUAGUUGAACUUUGGGCCCGGUUGGCCGGUCCGAUUUUUUCGUGUACCGGAUUUCCAACGGGGCCUUUCCUUCUGGCUAACCUUGAGUCCUUGUGGCUCUUGGCGAACCGGGACUUUUACUUUGAAAAAAUUAGAGUGUUCAAAGCAGGCGUAUUGCUCGAAUAUAUUAGCAUGGAAUAAUAGAAUAGGACGUUUGGUUCUAUUUUGUUGGUUUCUAGGACCAUCGUAAUGAUUAAUAGGGACGGUCGGGGGCAUCAGUAUUCAAUUGUCAGAGGUGAAAUUCUUGGAUUUAUUGAAGACUAACUACUGCGAAAGCAUUUGCCAAGGACGUUUUCAUUA